CCAUCUUGGAAAUGAAGAUGCUUCCCAGGAUGUUCAGGAUUUCUUCCAGCCCGGGGGCAUAUGCCUAAUGGGUGUCCCCCGAAUUUCACCAAGACUUUGACACAUCUCCAUUUUAUGAACUGAAUUGCCGAGUGUACACUCAGCAUUGUCCCAACUCACUGGGGCACAAGACUAUACAAAAAUACGAAAUGCCUUGGUAAAAGCAGAUUUCCGAAAUGGAGAAAAGCAGAGAACCACAGGAAAGGAUUGAGACUGAGACCAAGUGUGCUCUGUGGGACUGAAAAUAGAAGAAAAAUGGCAAAAUCGGAACACCAGAAGUCCUAUACCUCUCCUC
rnacentral:lncRNA from 1 species